CCUGACUAAAACAAGCGGUGACAUUUAAGCUGUAGCUGAGGGACAAUGAGAGAAUCAAGUCUGGUUCUGCAUGGGCAAGAUCAGCGCUGACCAGGAAAACAAUAGCCACAUGGGGUUACGUGUCUGCUUCCCAAUUUCCUAUUAGCCACAUUGUUUAAAAAGUCAAAAGAAACAGGUGAAAUUAACCUCAAUAAUAUUUUCUAUUUAGCCCAAUAUAUUAAAAGAUGACUAUUUCACAUCUAGUCAACAUAAAAAAAUUAUUAAAAUACAUUCUACAAGCUUUUCCCUGAACUAAGUCUUUUGGAUCUGGUGUGAAUUUUACACUUAGAUUACUUCUCGAUUACUUCUCAUCCCAAGAGCCUCAUGUAGCUAGCAGCUAAGCACAUUUGAUGCCUAGAGGUGAAAGGAACAAACUCUGGAGCCACUUACUAGCUAUGUGACAUUGGCAAAGUGGCCAUGAACCUCUCUAUGCCUCAGUUUCUCCAUCUGUAAAAUAGGGGCCUAAGAAAAGUUACCCCCUGGAGUUAUUUAAGCUCACAAGGCUCAAGCAGUGUCGG
rnacentral:lncRNA from 1 species